rnacentral:lncRNA from 1 species
UCUGCCAGUGGUUUCUUGCAAUGAAAGCGAAAGCAAAAACCAAACACUGUUUACAGCAAGCAAUACUUGAAGAGCGUAGGUUAAAGAGGCGGCUGUAUUUACCGUGAUGCUUUCUUUCUCUCGUUCUCUUGUGCCUGCAGAGGGGAGACAACCCUCCGCUCAUAUGUGGAAGCUCCUGAUCGUCUGAGCACUUGCCUCAGCAGAAAUGACUGUAGCCUACCCACGUUCCUGUCUUCUUGCUUCUCCUGCCUCCCGUGUCCUUAUGAGUGUGAAGGACAAGUGGGUGGCUUCUCACUGGGCUUCUUUCUCUCUCUCUCUCUCUCUUCUGCUGACACCUAAAACCAUGGAUGACCAGCUCUCCUGAGUGUAGUUUCUAAACAAAGAGACCAAAGCCCCACACCCUGGUCCAGAAGCCCCAUGAAAGCCAGUGGGAAUCAUCUAGAGGAAGGUGGCUCUGUUGGCAGCAAGAUCUUGGUGACCUGGACAGCCUUCCGAGUUUCCAGGCCUCCCACACCGGCACGGAUCCAAGCAGGCAGCUCUGGCUUCUCUGAAAACAGCAUCAGAGGGAGGGAGAAGGAAGGCAAGAGAAAGGCAAAGGGGUGGGAAGGGGGCAGACAGGAGAGGACCAUCCUCCCCUUCCCACCUUCUACUUGUCAAGGGGCUGCGGUGCUGGGAAACUGGACCAGCCGGCCCCGGAGAGACCAGACCAGGGUCAUUUCCUCUGUAAUUAACUCUGGGCCCCAGCUUCUCUGUGCCCUGAUUUACCUCCAAACAAUUCCAAUUUCCAAAGGCUCUGCUGACCACACUGGAUUCCCAGGAAAGGGCUGGGGGAGGGGGAGCUCUGAGGGCUGGCUUCCAUCCCUGGCGUGUGGCUCUGGAUCGCUGUGCUAACCGCACAGCAGACAUCGCCUGGUCUCCUCAGCUCCAGUUUCUUGCCUGAAUGCAGCUGACAAAGGGAAAGAGAAAAGCAUUCAGCAAAAUACUCAGGAAACUCGCUGUUUUCAUUAUAAUUCACAACCAGCCAUGCCAAGGCCACUUUCUUCUGAUAAUCCACUUCUGCUAAAGUUUCUCUGGGCCCUAUUAAUAGCCUGAAAAAAAUACUAAUGACUGGCCUUCCGCACUAAGCCAAAGUGUUUGCUCUUCAUAGCACCCAAAGCUUAUCAGCUCAGAGCCUGUGAUUAAUGGCGAUGAAAGGAGAGAAGAUACGUGCAAGAGGAAUGGGGGGGAGGGGGGCUCGGUGCCACCCACAAUAAAAUCCCAGCCCACCGUACGUUACUUCCCAGCACGAAUCUUCUCUGAUCACACUGCUACGCAGACUAGCAUCCGGGGUUUUGCUCCACCAAGAAGUAGAAGGAAGUUUGGUGUUUCGACCCUUGCCUCUAUGCACCGAUCUGAGCGUCUCCCAGGGGCGUCUUUGGGUGACCAUUCACGGCCCUGGGGCUGCUUCGUGGAAGGCUUCUGGAGAGUGUAGAGAAAGAUGGGGGAAUGGUCAGCUGGAGCGCGGAUGGGAGAGGGGCCAGAGCUGCCAUGAGCGGGUGGGCCACACUUCUUGGGAUUCCAUGAGAGUGUUGGGCAAGUUGGGAUGGCAAAGGAAGUGGCCCGGGGGCGUCUGUGAGGAAGGGAGUCCGAGAAAGGAGAACUCGGUGUGACUCGAGCUAGGCCGUGACGGGGAAAGGUUGUCGCCUUGCCUCCUCUGCAGCUUCCCGUCUGCCUCCUCCACCAACUCUUGCCUUUGGGCCAUCGAGAACCAACGGAGCCCACGCCUAUAGAAUGGGCAGGACAGGGACUCAGUUGGCCUCUCUCCUCACUCUUAGCCAACUGGAAGGUAUUUUGACCUCACGUAGGGAAAAAGUCACAGCCCCUACCCCACAGGAGGCCUUCCAACCCGGAGGGAGGCAGGAAGGGAGGUGUCUCUCAGACAUCAGAACAGCUUCACUUGUGUCACUACUCUGCACAAGAGACAAUUCGCUGGAAAAGAACCCCAGGAAUGCGCUUGGCCAGACAGAAGGUGCUGAUGGACGAGACGAAGAUGGGCAGGAUGUCCCCUGUGCGUGGAGCAGGUCCCCCCCACCCGGCCCUCUGCCCCUCUACUCUCAACAUGGGGUGGGGGGGCAGGUAUCUCGGGGCCUGCCCUCCCCCGUCCCCCCACAGCGUCUCUCAGAUCAUUUCCCAUCCACCGCUGACUGCAGAGAGCCCCCCUUCCUUGCAGAGUUCAAUCACCAAGAGUGCGGCUCCAACGUUGGCCUCACCCGAGGGUGGAGACGGGUUCCUGCGCCCGGUCAGGUGGCCUUCCUACGGGGCGGCUGCCUGCCAGGGGCACUCAGGGUGCUGAGAACAGCAGGGAACAAGACCAAGAAGGACCUUCUUCUAGCAGAGGGGCAUCAUCCCAGCCGCCGGCCCCCGCAGCAGGCACAGGUCUCCCCACCACCUGCAGAGGGCACAGCUUGGCAGAAGAGGGCCAGAGAGGGAAGAGGAAGGCGGCCAACCCAGCGGCCCUGCCUUAUUCUGGAACAUUCCUUCUGCAGUGAGGGCCUCUCUGGCUUCCACAGCUGCUGUCGCCUCUGGUGGCAUAUCCCCUUGCCUCUUGAGCCCCUGGUCUUCCUUCACUUCCUCCGAAUGAGGACAAGGAAUCGCAUCCGAGGCCUCUGGCCCUGCUGAGCACGAAGCCGAAGCCAGGGAUGUGGGUGUGGGCUGGACACCAUCCGGACAGAACAGAAGGAGACCGGGGACAGCCGCCAGCCGAUCCAUCCCCAGGUGCAUCCCAGGUACCACACGGGCCUCCACGACCCCGCAGCUGCUCCCGGGGGAGGCCACCCUGGCUGACCUCGGAUGGAGGCUCCCCAAGGCCUGGCCACUGACAGGAAAGCCUUGAGACUCUUGGGAGCAGGGGCGAGGGGGUGAUGAGUCCGGGGCUGCGGAAGCAGAUGCCACGGGGACACUUGGGAGACGAAGUUCAAGGACUUUUGAUGCCUUGUCUCAGGCUUGGAGAAAAUGGCAGUGCCCUCUCGGGGACUCCAAAGUCUGUCCUCCCCGUCUCUGGCUUUCCUCCCGGUUUUCCCAAAGAGGGACAUUUCAGCAACCGGGGCUCAGUGACAGCAGGAAGGAAAGAGAGGUCUCACUCGUGGUAUCAGGUUGUCCAUGGUUGUUGACUGGUCAAGACCACUGCUUGUCAAACAGGGCCUCCGCCCCGUAAGCCCGAUGGAGGCCCGACCUCGCGGGGACAGCCCGCUCGGUUCCCCUGUCCUCCUCAUGGUUGCAGGCUCCACCUUGAGACUGGGCUCCAUCCCUUCCGUCCCUUCUGCAGCCCAGCCCGCCCCUCCUGUCUUGCCUCAAGGAAGAUGAGAGGCACCUUGGGAUUUCAGGGGAGGCCCUGACCUUGGCUUUGUUUGUCCCCCGCGUUAACGUUACAGGUGGCGAGCAUAACGGCACACGGUCCCCCUACAGAGCAGACGUUAGCAACGUGUUGGAGAACAAGGGACAAGCUCUUCAUACCAUGAAACUAGGGACCUGGGCCCACCUGCCUCUCCCCCCAACGUCUCCUAUCCAAACCCACUCUUCUUGACACACUGGAAUCUGUAUUAUAUAUAUUUUUAAGAAAAUACAAUGAUAGUUGUCUGGUUUUGUUGUUUUUACAGGUGUUGUGGAAUAAAAUCUGUAAGAAAAUUAAGUAUUUAAAAUGUUCCAAUACAUUGGGGGUUUUUUGGUUAUUCUAAUAUAUUAUUGUGUACCUAUUGUAAAUAUGAAACACUCCUAUUUUGCAAGCCAAGGACACAAUUUGUACUGUUGUUAUAUAUAAAUAAAGUUUACUGGAUAAAAAAAAAA